AUGAUUUUUAAUACUUUUUAAAACAACAAAUUUAAAUUUUUUAAUGAUUUUUAAAUAAAGAAAAUUGCAACUUUAGUCCUUCACUAUUUGUUGUCUCAGUGCUCACAUCCCAUUCAUCCUAAAUUUCAUUUCCCUCUUAACAAAAGUAUUCCAAAUUUUCAUUUCCCUCCUCGUACGAAGAUUCAUUUCCCCCCAGUUUUGAUUAUUUUCUCAAUCCCCUCUAAUCCUAAAUCUUCAUUAUUCUCUCAAUCCCCUCUAAUCCUAAAUCAUAUAAUUCAAAUGAGAAACCCUAGCUUCCUUUUACAUAUUCAACCACCAACAGUACUCCGAAUCUAUUUUCUUUAAACCGGAACCCUAAUACCUAAUAACUGGCAAAGACAGUGGUUAUGCCAAUAAAGGUCGAAUGUGAAGGUGGGUGUGCAGGGGAGGUGGUUGUUUAUGGUGGGUAAUAGCUGCGGGAAAGAUGGAGGAUGCACCACAGAUUUGAGGAGGCGAUUUCGAUUCCAAGCGUUUCGUGUGACAUUGUGCGUAUGAAACUGGGGUUGCAGGGCCGGGCAGUGGUCAACAAGGUUUCAGCUUGAUCUUUUCAAACCUUCAUCAUCAAGAGUCCAAUACUUUCUUGAGAAGCGAUCCCCAAGGCUUUCUUCUGACAUAAAGAAAUUGCCAAAUGUAGUUAUUUGAUAUCCGGAGGUUUUUGACAAAUGAUCUAUGCGGUAAAUGCUGCUGGAGCUUUUCUACAUGGGCUGGAGGAUGAAUACUAUAAGGUUUGAGACAUGGCUACAAUAUAUAUAAAUACAACUGGAGGUGAUGGUUUCGUUGAUGGGCUAAGAGACAUCAGAACUGGCCACCGGUUACAAGUUUACUCACUACCACAACAAGGUAGCCACUAGCCCAUGGAUGCAAAUUUGCAGCACUUUCAAGUCCAAAAGCAUUGAGUAGACACGAACUUGAAGAAAACAGUCUUGAAAUAGCUCUUAGUUUUUGUGUACAUUUGUUUCCCUUUGCAACUUCUGUAGAUAGGUUUUGCUUAUAAGUUUAUAUCUUCCAUUAGUAUUUAAAUUGAAAACUUAUGUAUGGAUUUAUGGUUAUUAUUGUUAACAUCAUUUGUAUUA